GACGAACGCUGGCGGCGUGCCUAAUACAUGCAAGUCGAGCGCAGGAAACUGACUGAACUCUUCGGAGGGAAGGCAGUGGAAUGAGCGGCGGACGGGUGAGUAACACGUAAGGAACCUGCCUCAAGGAUUGGGAUAACUCCGAGAAAUCGGAGCUAAUACCGGAUAGUUCUACGGACCGCAUGGUCCGCUGAUGAAAGGCGCUUCGGCGUCACCUUGAGAUGGCCUUGCGGUGCAUUAGCUAGUUGGUGGGGUAACGGCCCACCAAGGCGACGACGCAUAGCCGACCUGAGAGGGUGGUCGGCCACACUGGGACUGAGACACGGCCCAGACUCCUACGGGAGGCAGCAGUAGGGAAUCUUCCACAAUGGACGAAAGUCUGAUGGAGCAGCGCCGCGUGAGUGAUGAAGGUUUUCGGAUCGUAAAACUCUGUUGUAAGGGAAGAACAUGUACGAGAGGGAAUGCUCGUACCUUGACGGUACCUUACGAGAAAGCCACGGCUAACUACGUGCCAGCCGCCGCCGUAA
rnacentral:rRNA from 1 species